GCACUAACUUUUUUUUUUUCUUUUCUAACACGCACUCUGCCGUCCACGCUGUACAUAAUCAAAGUUCAAACGCACCCCUUCCAUGAUGGUGGUCCAAAUUCAAUUUGGUUGUUUCGCAAAACAAAAAAUUGUCGCCAACAUGCUCAGCCCAACUUUGCGUCGAUUAUUUUUUUUAACGUUUUUUUUUUUUUGAAAAAGUGUAUUCUUUUUAUGAGUUGCUCCAUGUAGAUUUGGUACCUAUCGGUAUAAUUACAACAACAAAAUUCCAAACGCUCAUUCAAAUUGCAACUCCAAUUCAUGUCAGCUAUUCCUAGUCAGGACUCACAAAGAUAUAUAAGUGGGGAUUAUAAUAUUAAAGUGAUUCAUAUUUGUAUUUUUAUUUUGACUUCAUGGUCACUGUGAGGGCCAGUCAGUGACUUGGUGGGCCGUAUCUGGCCCCUAGGCCGUACUUUGCCAAUCCUCCUGUUAUGUUGCGGGUCAAAUUGUCCCAUUUAGAAAAUCUAGGGAAAAAAAUCUGAAUUAAAAUUAACAUAAUAGGAAACUCUCAAACCGCCACAUACAUUCAUCGUGUUUUUUCUCGAGCAGAACGGGUGC